GUUUCUGUAGUAUAGUGGUUAUCACGUUUGCUUUACCUGCAAAAGGUCCCUGGUUUGAAACCAGGUAGAAACA